GCCUCGGUAGCUCAAUUGGUAGAGCGUUGGCACAGUAAGCCGAAGGUCCAAGGUUCGAAUCCCCGCUGAGGCU
rnacentral:tRNA from 1 species